GCAGGAAGCUCUGGGAGAGAGGGGAAGGAGCGAGGGUGUGGCCUUGGGGGAAGGGGUAGAAUGGGGCUAGGGCACCUAUAAAGCUGCUUCAAAGAUCUGCAACGUCUUGGCCGUGUAACUUUUUUUGUUUUUGUUUUACCUCUUCAAAGAUAAGACUAGAUCUGUAAUGUACAAUCAAUACUAACCAAAAUUAUCUUUUUCUUAGUGUUUGCAAUUUACCCACACGCUUUAGAGGCCUUCUACAGUACCACUAUCAGUAUGUGAAUCUUUAAAUGGUGGUUUGACUAGCAGUUGACAGCUAGCUUGCAGUCUGGGUAAACAUUAUCUGAUAGAUCUGCAACUUAAACAGGGCUGAAGUCACUAGUCAGGAACUCAUCUCUAUUCAGGAAGCGUGUUUAGUCCCAUUGAAGUCAAUGGGAAUUAAGCAUGGGCUUUCCUGAAUUGAGCGCCUUAAUUAUCUGGAAAAAAUAGUUUCUGAGAAGAGCUUUGCAGUCUGUUUCCAAAAUACAGCUAAAGAGGGUGCCUCUUCCCCCUGCCCCCCAAACGCCCCAAAGCAAGCCUGUGCCGUGCCCUUGAAGAGCAGGACUUCUGGAUCUUUUUAGUCACCUCUACCACAAAUGGGAGUCGAGCACAUGCUUUGCUGAGUUAGGGCCAGAAGCACCAUCCCAUUGCAGCAGUUCUGCUUUAUAUCUGCAGCAUGCAGAACAUAUCAACAGUCACUGAUGGCCUCCUGGCUACUUAAUAUUUUUUUAAAAACAUUUUUUUUCCAAUGGCCUUAUUCUUGUUGCAGAGUCGGGGGGAGGGGGGGGGGUUAUGUAUUUUCAGGACUUACCUGUGUAUGUGCAGUCACUGCCAUGUGCUAAGAGCCAAUUUGCCGAUGAAGAGAUGUCUCUGUGCUUGUGUAAGAUGUGUUUCAAAAAACUUGCUCAUCAGCCUAUGUGCUUGUGAGAAGCAAGGUAGCACAUUCCUUUUCAGAUCAUGUAAAAUUCAUUUGUUGGGAUGUCAAAUAAGUGUUAACAUCUCUUGUCGGUUUGCUUCUGUUUGAUUUUUCUUUUUGCUCAAAAAUGUAAAAACAGUUUUGGGGUUUCUGUUUUUAGCUUAAUGUUUUGCAGGGUGGCUUAUUCUUUCACUUUAAGUAGCCAAAACACACACUUUUCCCCAAGAGCCUCUCUUCAAGACAUUGCCACUACAUAAAGAAUGUAACUGAGAUGUGUAAGCCUCUAACUACAAAUAGUCAUCUAAAGUGAUAGAUGUGUUGGGAAGCACUACCUUACAAAUUGUAAGUCCUAUUGAAAAUGUCAGGACAGAAUAAACUUUUUAUAUUCUUAUUUCAAACAUGACACCUAGACAGUCUUGUUCAGCUGCUUGAAAAAUAGAUGUACGCACACGUUCUUUACACGGUAGUUUGGUAUCUGUUACAUUGCUCCAUGUUUAUAUUCCUUGUGAGACCAAGCAGAUCAAAGAGGUAUUUAUUUUUUGGAACCUGGUGUACACCUAAAACUUAGCUACAUCGCACAGGGGUGUGAAAAACUCUCACCCCAAGAGAUGUAGUUAAGCCAACCUAAGCCCCAGUAUAGACACCGCUAGAUUGACCUGCCUCUCAGAGGGGUGGUGGAUUUACUGCAGUGAUGGAAAAACCUCUUCUGUCGCUGUAGCAUCUACACUAUGGCACUACAGCAGCAUAGCUGCAGAGCUGUACUUAUGUCGCUGUAGCACCUGAAGUGUAGACACAUCCAUAGAGCAGCAGAUCUCAAACUUUUAGAGUGGGCUACAGCUGACAAGACUGUCACAUGGACCAUCUUCCCUUCCCAUUUGUGAGCUCACUACACCUCUGUGGCUGUUACGUCCGUGGAAAAGUAACAUUUGCAAAGUAGCAAGUGUAUUUUGAUGCAAUUUAAAGAUUGGAAACUUUCACUCUGCGGCCUGUAUCAUGCUAGAGGUCAGGUUAGAUGAUCAUACUGGUCACUUCUGACCUUAAAAAGAUCUAUGAAAAACCAGGAGGGCCUUUACCAUGUGACCAAUCAAUUCCCCAGUGGACCAUCGGCAUGUGUUUCACAGAUCCACGGUCUGAGAACCUCUGCCUUAGGGACAUUAGGACAUUUAACCUCUGACAAUAAAAAUCAACGCCACACUUUCAUCCAUACAUCAGGAGUCAGGAUUUUUCAGGUGCAGCUCAACAAUGAAAAGUGCUUUUGCAGCAAGUAUAGGAUGUGAAAGAUUCAGACCUACCAGCAAGGAGGAAUCUCACCUACAUCUUACUUGAGAGCAGAAAUUCAAGUUGGCUAACAGUAUUAGUUAUCUCCAGAAUUCUUCCUUAUGGGAGAGAAAAUGUUGUUUCUUCUUUCAGUUCUAACACCAGCAUGACCAGCAAGUGUUUAGAACAAACUGAUCAUUUUAAAAGCACCAUAGAGUUAGAAUUUGGACUAUGCAAUAAAAUUAUCACUUGCCAUCUACCUCUAUCAUGUAUAUUGCACACUAUCAGUGCCCUUAAUUUAAGGAUGCAAAGAUAAGGACAAGUAGCCUAACUCAGACCUUGCAACACUAGCAGGAUUGUAAAGUAUUGAACUAAUCUAUGGCUGAAUAUAUUCACUCUAGGUAAGUGGACUUGUUAGAUACCUAUCAGAGGCUUUCUGGUUAUACACUUGAUCCUAUUCAUCUGCACUCAAAUUUGACUGACUUUUUUAGUGGGUGUUAUGAACAGAAAGACCUCUGGUUCAAGGCCUUAAUUCUAGAUAUCUGAAUUUAAACCUGCUUGCCAACAUAUCUGUGCAUUUAUAUUACCUUUAGGUGGCUUAACUCCAUGGCAGGAGUUAUGUUAAAGGAGAAGUUCAAAGCUACUUGAUUUUUUUUUCUUUUUAUUUGGCUUUGCUUGCUUGCAACAUCUAGUUCCCAACAGCUGGUUACAUUUAUCAGACAUAAAAUUAAAAGUGGGGAGGCUAAUGCUACCAGCCAAGAUUCUCAAAAAUACAAGCCUAAACCUGCUCCAUGUUUAGGCACCUUAACAAGUGGCUUGACUUUCAAACACGCUAGGCACUCCAGCAGUUUCCACUACCCUCAGUGUUUUUGACACCUACCUACCUUGUUUACUGUGGAUUCAGCAGUUGGGUAGCAAUCACUAAUGUUUAUUAGAUGCAUUUUAUCCAUUAGUGAUUUUAAAAUCAAUUUAUAUCAUAUUUUUGGCAUCUGAUGGCAGAAGAUGAAUGGCCAGGAGGAACACUUCAUACUGGAAGAUUUUUUUCUUAAAUUAUAGUGAUUGCUCAGGAAGUGACUAAGUCAGGACACUCUUCCUCAACAGCUUGGUGGUUCUGAGAGUCAGACCUUAUUUAUUUUGCAAACAUUAAGGCCUGAUCUUACAAUUGACAAUAUGCAGACAAAGCAAUCUCUUGAUUUUAGUGGAGCUGCACCUGCAUUGUGUAAAUUGCAGGACCACGGUUUAAAUAUACAGUUUUGGUUAAUGCUCCAAAACCAGUAUAGCUGUAGAAGAAAAAUUCUAACUGGAGAAACAUUUACUGAUGGAAGGCAGGAGAACAUAGUAAAUCUUCACUGGAGUCAACGAGAGAAUAAACAGAGAAUCCCAUAGCAUCAGUUUUAGUCACUUUUCCUGAUAACUGCACUUUAGACACCUGUGUGUAAUAUGCUUGAAUGUUUUGAAGCCUAUAUGCUUAACUUUUAAUAUUGAUUCUGAAUUAUUUGCUAUAGCGGUAUUGUGGACAGAAUAUUUUAUGCAAUAUAUUGGAUAGUACAGUGUACCUUGACAUGGAUGGAAUAUAGCAUGGAUUAUUCUGUACAUGAACAAAAAUGUUUCUUGCAUGUCAGGGAUGUUCUCUACUUUCUUUGCUUUUGAAAAUCCGAUAAUGUAAUGACACAGUUACAUUUUAAAGUGUUUUUUGUCAUUGAGCAUGCAAAACUACAUACAAUUAGCUGAUGCUGCUAAGUGCCUGAUUUUUCUCAGUCACCAUGUUCUCCGAGCAUGAAAUUAUAUUGUUUUGUUUUUUGAUAGUGUGGGCAAGAUCCCAAAGGGUGGUGGGUUUUGUUACAUGAUUAUUUAGCUAUUACAAAAAAAAAAAUCCUAUAAUGCAGAAUUCAAAUGGUGUUUUUUAGUGGACCUCCAGAAAUAUGCAGUACUGCAUUAUCCAGCCUUUUUCUGCCUUAUUCCUCAACUAGCACAAUAAGCAUAGUUUCCAUCCAUCUCUUAUUAUCGUACUAUGAAUCAGCUGAGAUUUUGAAAGCCAACCAGGGGACUUAACCACACAGCCCACAUUUAUUUCAAUGAGAGUUCUGUGGCUAAUUCACUCCUGAACCUGCUGUUUGACAACACCUGAGUGGACUGCUGCUCCCAUGGAGAGUCUCGUUGGCUUCUUGGGAGUUCCAGGCAGGCACAAGCGUUGGCAGGCUAUCAGUUAUAAAAUUGGGGCCUAAAUCCCCUAGCUGGCUCUGAAAAUCUCUGUUUUCACUUGGUGGAACCAUUUAACUACUUUCAAUUACAAAUCUGUAAUUGCCGUUUUGCAUUCAGUUUCAAUUACAAACUGAACUGAGUCAAAUUUGUACAGGCCUCUAAAUCGGCACCUGCACAUUUUUUGCACACAGAAUCCCACAGUUGUUGAGCACAAAUCAGGUAGUUACCUAUCUUGAGAAUGCAUUGAUGAGAUUUUGCAAGUGAAAGUUUAAUGACCCAUUUGAUUAUCUGGCAUGUCAUGAAUCUGGCUGUAGUUAAACAAAGCACUUAAGACCAUUCUUAAAAUUAUGCUUAAGUCCAUCCCUCUUUUACAAAACUUUGAAGCAUACGAAGUCCCACUGAAUGAGACUUAAGGAUGUGCUUAAAUGCUGUGCUGAAUAGGAAUAGACUUUUGCAUGUGCUUAAAUCAGGGAUCCCCAAUGCAGUGCCCAUGUGUGCCAAGGUGUCGCCGGGGGGUCUAAGUGCUCCUGCAUACUGGCCUGUGGAUGAGCAUCCACCAAAAUGCCGCCGACAAGCUGCAUCAUCCAGAGGCGUUGCCACCGAUUUUCAGCAGCAGCGCCUCUGGAUGACACUACUUUUCGGCGGCAACACCUAUUGACAUUGCCACUUGGCGGAAUUUCAGCAGAUGUUCGUCUGCUGCCACGGUCCUCCAUGGCUCGCCUGGCGCCUGCCAGACGAAAAAGGUUGGGGACCACUGGCUUAAAUGCUUUGCUGAAUUGAGGCCUCAGUCAAUGUCUUGCAACAGAAUUUUGCUCCAGUGUUUGACCAUGCACAGUAUUGCUCCCAGGGCUGAGGGAAGGGAAAUUCUAGGCACAUAGAGUGAUUUGGUUACUGCUGGUCUCAUGUUCUGUCCAAUUGAUGUUGACUCUGUUGAACCCAGUUUAAUGCACUGAUAAUGCAUUGUUUACUGUUUAGAAGAUAACCUGUCUAUGGACAUGGAAUAGCCAAUGUGUUAUAUGACCAAACUUUCUAACAUCAACACUAUUUUGUUUUAGCGUAAUCUUUGUUUUCCAAUUCAAGAUAUUGUUGCAGAUGAAUUCACUGUGACCAAAAAUAUAUAAAUAGGGGUUGACUAUAUGUAAUAGCAGUUGUGCUAAGAAAUGUUUAGUAAAUAUUUUGAUAUACUGCACUCAAUCUUCAUAUGGAAACAACUGGCAACUAACCCUGGGCGUAUGUGCGCCAACCCUUUUUUUGUUUUGCAAAACACAUCAGCUUUGAGAUAUUUAAGUAAUAAUGUAUUUAAUCUAUUAUCCAUGCUGCAUUCAAGUACUAAGUGUCUUUAUAGUUAACAUUAUUAAAGAAUUUUGUUUUAAAUAAGA